AGUCAUUCUGGGGGAACAGAAAUCACAACUUCCCACUGAUAAUUAGGCUUCAAGCACACAAAACCUCUGUGGAGAGUCAAAGAGAAGAAACUUUCUUCAAGACACAGCCACAUGGAUUCUGAAAUCUAGCCAUUUUGGGAGAACAUAAAUCAAGACUUCCCAGUGAUAUUUGGCUUCCAGCAAACAAAUCUCACCUGGAGAGGCAAUGGGAAGAGUCCUUUUGGGAGACACAGCCUGAUGGAUUCUGCCAACUAGCCAUUUUGGGGGAACAGAAAUCAAGACUUACCGCUGAUAAUUAGGCUUCAAGCACACAAAUC